UUUCCCAUUUGACUACCACUUAAUUUACACUAUAAAGUAAGUGGCUAUGCUUAUGGGAUAAAGAAAUGACUGCCAGAGUCUGAAGGAGGAGAUUGACUGUUUCUUUUUCCUAUAUGAAAUGGCAGAACAUCCUAUU
rnacentral:snoRNA from 1 species